rnacentral:rRNA from 1 species
UACAGAGGGGGCAAGCGUUAUUCGGAAUUAUUGGGCGUAAAGGGCGCGUAGGCGGCUUGUCGAGUGGGAGGUGAAAUCCCUCGGCUCAACUGAGGAACUGCCCUCCAAACUGCUUUGCUUGAGUCCGGGAGAGGUGAGUGGAAUUCCCAGUGUAGCGGUGAAAUGCGUAGAUAUUGGGAGGAACACCAGUGGCGAAGGCGGCUCACUGGACCGGAACUGACGCUGAUGCGCGAAAGCGU